CCUACGGGGGGCUGCAGUGGGGGAUAUUGCACAAUGGGGGGAACCCUGAUGCAGCGACGCCGCGUGGGUGAAGGAGCGUUUCGGCGCGUAAAGCCCUAUCGGCAGGGAAGAAGAUGACGGUACCUGGCCAAGAAGCCCCGGCUAACUACGUGCCAGCAGCCGCGGUAAUACGUAGGGGGCAAGCGUUAUCCGGAUUUACUGGGUGUAAAGGGGGCGCAGACGGCAAUGCAAGCCAGGAGUGAAAGCCCGGGGCCCAACCCCGGGACUGCUCUUGGAACUGCAUGGCUGGAGUACAGGAGGGGAAGGCGGAAUUCGGGGUGUAGGGGUGAAAUGCGUAGAUAUUAGGAGGAACACCGGGGGCGAAGGCGGCCGGCUGGACUGUGACUGACGUUGAGGCCCGAAGGUGUGGGGAGCAAACAGGAUUAGAUACCCGAGUAGUC
rnacentral:rRNA from 1 species